GACGAACGCUGGCGGCGUGCCUAAUACAUGCCAGUAGAACGCACAGUUUAUACCGUAGCUUGCUACACCAUAGACUGUGAGUUGCGAACGGGUGAGUAACGCGUAGGUAACCUGCCUGGUAGCGGGGGAUAACUAUUGGAAACGAUAGCUAAUACCGCAUAAUAUUGAUUAUUGCAUGAUAAUUGAUUGAAAGAUGCUAUUGCAUCACUACCAGAUGGACCUGCGUUGUAUUAGCUAGUAGGUGAGGUAACGGCUCACCUAGGCGACGAUACAUAGCCGACCUGAGAGGGCGAGCGGCCACACUGGGACUGAGACACGGCCCAGACGCCUACGGGAGGCAGCAGGAGGGAAUCUUCGGCAAGGGACGAAAGUCUGACCGAGCUACGCCGAGUGAGUGAAGAAGGGUGUCGGAUCGGAAAGCUCGGUUGUAAGAGAAGAACGGGUGUGAGAGUGGAAAGUUCACACUGUGACGGUAUCUUACCAGAAAGGGACGGCUAACUACGUG
rnacentral:rRNA from 1 species